AUGUCAUUUUCCCAACCCAGGUUGUAUUUGCUUACACUCCAAGUUCAAAGUUGAAACUUGAAAUACACCGAUCAGACCAUUACCGAUUCGACGAUUACACUCUGUCCGUCAAUCUCGCACCAAAAAGAUAGGGUUUGAGUCUCUUAAUUUCUCUGUGAAAAGUACCCUUUGAUCACCGGGCACCAUGAACUGCGAAGUUUGCCAACUCAAAGAAUUGGAAGUGGAGCACUACGAGAUACGGGAAGUUCUACGCUGCAUACUACACACGAUAGUGUUUCAUCGGGCUUUAGGUCUAGUGCGUCCCAAAGAUAUUGAUUUGGAACUCUUUGAUAUUACAUAUGUGCAAUGUGGAGAUGUGGACCUUGAAAAGAAACUAGAAGAGAAGAUUGAGCAGUUCAUCGGUUGGGUAGAGAAACACCCAAACAAAAAAAGUCAGAUAUGCUUAUCUUUCUAUGAGGUGAAAAACAAACCGCCUUCUUGGUUCAAUAAAAUUGAACGCCUAUAUUGGGAACAAUGGUAUGUCAAUUUGAAUGUGGCCCAACACCCCAAAGCACAUUCUAGCAAGUCUCAUCAUUCCAAAGUUGUACUUGAUCCAGGAGAGAGUGCAGUGGAGGAGACAAAUGCUCGCAGAGCAGCACUUGAAGCAUCUCUCCGCGAGGUAUUGUUUCAAAUCAUAAAAUUUUUGAAUGAGAAGAAGGAUCAUGUUCCUCCCAUACCAAAUCUUGAAGGUGUUGCCUGUUUUCCCUAUGAAAUCACUAUCCCAAGAUAGUUUUAUUCCUACAAUGAGGAGGUUAGGGCUAAGAUAUUAUUUUGAAGGCGUGAAUUGGUGAUCAUGGGUGAGGACAUCAAGGAAGCAGAGUGACUGUGGGAACCUUUAAUGUUUCAAACUAAAGAACUUAAUGUAUCAUAGUUCGUCAGAUUCUACAUUUGGAAUGGACAUGAUCAAGAGGAUGCUCCAAACUGGGCAUCCAGCCAUGCUCAGCUGAUUAUCAAAGUUAACGAGCUAUAGCACGUAUUCCCUUCAUGCGCCAGUUGGAUGGAUUCUGACGUUCAUGAUGUCUCAAAACAUGUACAUGUGAAGUGGUUGCAAGAAGCUUCUCUAUCCAGAAAAGUUUCGCGGCUCUGAACAAGAAGCGAAUCUUUGGUGCUCUUAAUAGUUUGUAAUUAUUUUCCCUGAAUUACCCCACUUUUCCCAUUUGCUUUCCCAUUUCUUAUAGUUUAUUUUUAUAUACUGAAAGGAUACCAGUUUGAUCAAACCAGGACCAUAGAGUUUGUCACAUAUUAUGGGAAAAUUAAGGGUUUGCUGUAUAAUUCGAGACAUUUUUCUUUUCUGUAAAUUUUCAUCUCCAUGGUUUUUCUGUC